rnacentral:rRNA from 1 species
GAUGAACGCUGGCGGCGUGCCUAAUACAUGCAAGUCGAACGAACAGAUAAGGAGCUUGCUCCUUUGACGUUAGCGGCGGACGGGUGAGUAACACGUGGAUAACCUACCUAUAAGACUGGGAUAACUUCGGGAAACCGGAGCUAAUACCGGAUAACAUAUUGAACCGCAUGGUUCAAUAGUGAAAGGCGGCUUUGCUGUCACUUAUAGAUGGAUCCGCGCCGUAUUAGCUAGUUGGUAAGGUAACGGCUUACCAAGGCAACGAUACGUAGCCGACCUGAGAGGGUGAUCGGCCACACUGGAACUGAGACACGGUCCAGACUCCUACGGGAGGCAGCAGUAGGGAAUCUUCCGCAAUGGGCGAAAGCCUGACGGAGCAACGCCGCGUGAGUGAUGAAGGUCUUCGGAUCGUAAAACUCUGUUAUCAGGGAAGAACAAAUGUGUAAGUAACUGUGCACAUCUUGACGGUACCUAAUCAGAAAGCCACGGCUAACUACGUG